AGGCUUCGAGACAAAGCCGACCUCCUGGUGAAUGAAAUCAACCUGUAUGCCUCUACCGAGACCCCAAAUUUAAAGCAGGGUCUGAAAGACUUUGCCGAUGAGUUUGCCAAACUUCAAGAUUACCGCCAGGCAGAGGUUGAAAGACUUGAAGCCAAAGUAGUUGAACCUUUGAAAGCUUAUGGGACCAUUGUAAAGAUGAAACGAGAUGAUCUCAAAGCAACAUUAACAGCAAGGAAUCGAGAAGCCAAA
rnacentral:lncRNA from 1 species